rnacentral:lncRNA from 1 species
GGACGGCAAGAGUUGGUGUUGGUUUUAAACUCUGGUGAUGGAGGGAUCCCACAUCGGGAAGCUAACAUAAGAGUAGAUGGAGAGCUGGCUUUAAAUAGAGCAAACCAUGAGGAGAGUAGGGAUACCCUUCUUAGUUGAUCCCUUUCGCUUUGUGACGUGCUCGUUUGGGUUGGGCAUCAGCUAAGAGUGUUUGGAGCGCGGAUUAACUGCAGUCUCCUAACAGGUGUGUAUUUCUCAUUACUCUAGCGGUAGGACGACUAUUUCGGGCCACGAUGGGCUGAAAUGGGCCUUGUGGUCCCAAUGGGUCCGUAGGCCCAAGUGGAUAAGUUGUAGAAUUACUAAAAUACCCCUGUAGGGUAGGACUACCGAUUUACCCCUAGAGGGUAAAAUGACUAUUUUUCCC